rnacentral:rRNA from 1 species
AACGAACGCUGGCGGCAUGCCUAACACAUGCAAGUCGAACGAGACCUUCGGGUCUAGUGGCGCACGGGUGCGUAACGCGUGGGAACCUGCCUUUAGGUUCGGAAUAACUCAGAGAAAUUUGAGCUAAUACCGGAUAAUGUCUUCGGACCAAAGAUUUAUCGCCUUUAGAUGGGCCCGCGUUGGAUUAGCUAGUUGGUGGGGUAAAGGCCUACCAAGGCGACGAUCCAUAGCUGGUCUGAGAGGGUGAUCAGCCACACUGGGACUGAGACACGGCCCAGACUCCUACGGGAGGCAGCAGUGGGGAAUAUUGGACAAUGGGCGAAAGCCUGAUCCAGCAAUGCCGCGUGAGUGAUGAAGGCCUUAGGUUGUAAAGCUCUUUACCCGAGAUGAUAAUGACAGU